AAAUUAUUAUUGUGCAAUUCAAUUUAAUUUGAUUAUUAAUGAUCUUACUUUUUUUAUUAUAUUUAUU
rnacentral:tRNA from 1 species